rnacentral:rRNA from 1 species
CCUACGGGUGGCAGCAGUGAGGAAUAUUGGUCAAUGGACGAGAGUCUGAACCAGCCAAGCAGCGUGAAGGAUGACUGCCCUCUGGGUUGUAAACUUUUUUUAUAUGGGAAUAAAAUGUUCCACGUGCGGGAUUUCGUAUGUACCAUAUGAAUUAGGAACGGCUAAACUCUGGCCAGCAGCCGCGGUAAUACGGAGGGUCCGAGCGUUAUCCGGAUAUAUUGGGUUUAAAGGGAGCGUAGGUGGAUUUUUAAGUCAGUUGUGAAAGUUUGCGGCUCAACCGUAAGAUUGCAGUUGAAACUGGCAAACUUGAGUACAGUAGAGGUAAGCGGAAUUCGUGGUGUAGCGGUGAAAUGCGUAGAUAUAAGGAAGAACUCCGAUGGCGAAGGCAGCUCACUGGACUGAAACUGACACUGAGGCUCGAAAGUGUGGGUAUCAAACAGGAUUAGAUACCCGUGUAGUC